UACGUAGGUCCCGAGCGUUGUCCGGAUUUAUUGGGCGCAAAGCAAGCGCAGGUGGUUUAUUAAGUCUGGUGUAAAAGGCAGUGGCUCAACCAUUGUAUGCAUUGGAAACUGGUAGACUUGAGUGCAGGAGAGGAGAGUGGAAUUCCAUGUGUAGCGGUGAAAUGCGUAGAUAUAUGGAGGAACACCGGUGGCGAAAGCGGCUCUCUGGCCUGUAACUGACACUGAGGCUCGAAAGCGUGGGGAGCAAACAGG
rnacentral:rRNA from 1 species